UUUCCGUAGGUGAACCUGCGGAAGGAUCAUUAUUGUAUAACCGAGGUGCGAUGGCUGUCGCUGACCCGAAAGGUCGUGCACGCCCGAGUGCCCUCACACACAUCCAUCUCACCCCUAUGUGCACCACCGCGUGGGUCCCCCUUUGGCUUGUUCGGAGGGGGGCUUACGCUUUCACACAAACUUUGUAUGCAGUGUAGAAUGUAUUUUUUGUUUUUGCGAUCACGCAAUCAAUACAACUUUUAACAACGGAUCUCUUGGCUCUC
rnacentral:misc_RNA from 1 species